rnacentral:rRNA from 1 species
GCCUACCAUGCAAGUCGAACGAGACCUUCGGGUCUAGUGGCGCACGGGUGCGUAACGCGUGGGAAUCUGCCCUUGGGUUCGGAAUAACUCGCCGAAAGGCGUGCUAAUACCGGAUGAUGUCGUAAGACCAAAGAUUUAUCGCCCAGGGAUGAGCCCGCGUAAGAUUAGGUAGUUGGUGAGGUAAAGGCUCACCAAGCCGACGAUCUUUAGCUGGUCUGAGAGGAUGAUCAGCCACACUGGGACUGAGACACGGCCCAGACUCCUACGGGAGGCAGCAGUGGGGAAUAUUGGACAAUGGGCGAAAGCCUGAUCCAGCAAUGCCGCGUGAGUGAUGAAGGCCUUAGGGUUGUAAAGCUCUUUUACCCGGGAUGAUAAUGACAGUACCGGGAGAAUAAGCUCCGGCUAACUCCGUGCCAGCAGCCGCGGUAAUACGGAGGGAGCUAGCGUUGUUCGGAAUUACUGGGCGUAAAGCGCACGUAGGCGGCUUUGUAAGUCAGAGGUGAAAGCCUGGGAGCUCAACUCCAGAACUGCCUUUGAGACUGCAUCGCUUGAAUCCAGGAGAGGNGAGUGGAAUUCCGAG